rnacentral:lncRNA from 1 species
AUGAGGGCUCUGUGGGACAGCCUGCCCCAAGGCUGCACACCCAGAGUCAGGAGUAUUUUUGACUUCCAGAAGGUGGAGAGGCCGCCUUCCUUAUCUAACCCAGCUACAGAAAUGGUGCUUUUCCAGAAAAACAUCCAAGCCCUUUGCAAGUCUCUGAGCUGCUGGCCAGCAGGACACCUCAAGCUGCCAGAGAUGUGGGGCUGGUUGACACCAUCCAAGCACCAAACAGCAGAUGUUGCUGGCUGCCUUUCCCUGGAACGGGGCUGGGGCAGCAGGAGCCCUCUGUGUGGGGUUUCCCCCUGCACCACCCCCAGAUUCCCCCCCCUCACACACCAAAGUUGUGAGCCCUUCUCAAGCUGCAGUGGCAGUGCCCCACAGGGACAAAGAGGUGCUGUCAGCUCAAUGGAAGCCCAUGGGGAGGCUCAGAGAGCACCCCCUGCCCCCCCGCUUGAUGAGGGCUUUACCUUCUUUGGGGCAGCACAGCCCCCUAUCCUCUUUCCCCACUUGAAGGCAAGGUUUCUCCCCGGAGAAGCAGCACUCUGCCUGCGGCACCACAGAGCUGUGCUUUCCAGGCGUGCUCUUCCUUCCCAGCCUCACAUCCUGGCACAGUCCCCACUGUACAGUUUGUCCCUCACAACCCUGUCCAUGAACCACUCGCACAUUCCUCCUCCCUACAGUGAGGAACACAGAUUGAUAAGGAUCUUUGCAAGUCUCCCCAGGGGCGGAGGAUGUUUUGGCUGGGAAAUAUCAAUGGGAAGCAGGGAGAAAGCAAGCCCAGAGGGAGCGUGGCACCUGCCAAGCUUGCUAAAUAACUGCAGGCUCCUCAGCAGAGCCGGGUGUGCUGCUGGAACAGGGCACAGAGCAGCAGGCAAUGGGCGGUCAGGGCUCCUCCUUCCUUCUCCCUGCAGGAAGAAAUGCUUCAACAGCCAUCAGAGAGCCAUGGCCAGUGCUGAAGUGGGCAGAGACAGGGACCAGGGAUCAGCACCCAGCACUCCACAGUUUUGCAGGAUGCAGUGGGCACUGCAUAGCAGGAGGUGCUGCAAGCUGCCAUGUCCACAGUUCUGUCACCAAGAACAUGUUCCCACCCCCCACCCCAGAUUCCCUCCCCCGGAGCCUCAGUGGGGACCCUGCAGUCCUGGGUGGGAGGGCACAUGCAGUAGAAAUGCCAGCUUGGCAUCUGUCUCCUUCCAAGCUGAAGAGAAAUUCCCAGUGUCACAGUGGCCCUUUGGUAGGCAAUUUAUUUACUUUGGAUGCUGCAGCCUUAUCGUUCAUGGAAAUGUUUAUCCUAAAUAUUUAAUAGCAGGACUGCAUAAACGGAGGUUUCCUGGGGAAGGAGCCCAGGCUGCAGUUGGGGAAGGCACAGCGUCCCUUCCCUCAGUACUGCGAAAGUUGCAGCUACUUUCUCACUUCUCCCCAAAAAUCACAUCCUCAGCUCCUCAAAAUCAGGGAGUUUUUCAUCUGGCCAGAGGCUUCUUCAUCACUUCCUGA